UCAAGAUAGCUCAGUGGUAGAGCACUGGACUGUUAAUCCAGAUGGAAUGGUCGGGUACCAUCUCAAAAAUGCCCAUCCCUGAA
rnacentral:tRNA from 1 species